GAUGAACGCUGGCGGCGUGCCUAAUACAUGCAAGUCGAGCGAACGGACGAGAAGCUUGCUUCUCUGAUGUUAGCGGCGGACGGGUGAGUAACACGUGGAUAACCUACCUAUAAGACUGGGAUAACUUCGGGAAACCGGAGCUAAUACCGGAUAAUAUUUUGAACCGCAUGGUUCAAAAGUGAAAGACGGUCUUGCUGUCACUUAUAGAUGGAUCCGCGCUGCAUUAGCUAGUUGGUAAGGUAACGGCUUACCAAGGCAACGAUGCAUAGCCGACCUGAGAGGGUGAUCGGACACACUGGAACUGAGACACGGUCCAGACUCAUACGGGAGGCAGCAGUAGGGAAGCUUCCGCAAUGGGCGAAAGCCUGACGGAGCAACGCCGCGUGAGUGAUGAAGGUCUUCGGAUCGUAAAACUCUGUUAUUAGGGAAGAACAUAUGUGUAAGUAACUGUGCACAUCUUGACGGUACCUAAUCAGAAAGCCACGGCUAACUACGUG
rnacentral:rRNA from 1 species